CUGGGCCCAGGUGAGGCCAGCCCCAGUGACAUCCCAGGCACCCUGCUGUUGGGAAGACAAGGGUGAAUGUCCUUGAAAUGAAGAGGUCAGUUUGCUAGUCUCGGGUGGGUGCCACGGUUGUGUGGGAUGGUGGUGGUGUUGUGGAUGUGUGGGCAAUGCCACAUGCUGGUUAUUCUUGGUUUGUGGGAGCUACGCUCCCCUUGUCCACAACGACAGGCAAGUGAAAGAGCUGGGCUCUGAAGUUAAGCAGAGGGGUUGUAGCACCAGCUUUGUGGGUUGGGUCUACGCCUCAAAUCUGUGUGCUGCCUCGGUUUCCUCUCGUAAAUGGAGCUCGUGAUAACAACCUUACAAGAUGUCAAGUGCAUCAGCGAUCCUACCUGACACAGUCGGCAGAGUGGUCCUUCUAUAAAUUAUAGCAAUGAUUAACUUCUCAAUCACAGCAGGUAAAUAAAUGGGGAGAUACGUUAGAUUUUUUUUUGGAUCUUUCCUGAUUUGCUUUGAUCUUUCAUAUAACGCACAAAUUAUCCUGAAGAGCAAAGAAAUGAAAGAAGCUUUGCAAAGCCAAAUAAGUUUGUGUUUCUCGUAAAACUGUCUAAUCAAAAUGCUGUCUAUUAACUCUGAUGUCAGGUGACCUUUGGCUCUGAAUUGGUGUGUUGUGGCAGAGGGAGUUCAACUUGUUCUCAAGAUUUCUGUUUUUGGCUGUAGUAAAGCAUAAAAGGGAGGAGACAUUUCUUUAGUGGGCAACUAUAGGGAGACUUUAAAAUAGUGCCCUUCUAGUCCUUCCCUUAGGAAGGAAGGAAGGAAGGAAGGAAGGAAGGAAGGAAGGAAGGAAGGAAGGAAGGAAGGAAGGAAGGAAGGAAGAGUUCUCUCAAGGAAAUUCAUGGUAACUAGAAACUCAGUGCAUGGAAACACAGGUCAUUACAUUGUGGACCAGGAUCUAAAACUUUAUCUGAUAAUUUCUCUUGCAUUGUGUCAGGGCCAAGGAUGAAAAUAACUGUCAUGGUCUAAUAUCUGUUUAUAUUUCAUGCAUGACUCAGUUUGUGAAUCAUCUUAUGAGGAGUUUGCUGGUUACUUCAGGGUAGUUUCCAUCAACAGAACCUGUAUGCGGGGAACAGAGAAGCGUCCACACUUGCGUGAGUCCCCAUGCACAGUGGUUGGUUGGGUGCAGGGACUUUGAAGGGACCAGCCAGGAUGCACAACCAGGCUGCAGGGGGGACAACGAUGAGGAAGUUCUCCUGCAGACAUCUCAUCACCACCUUCUUGCUGCUCUCUGAAGGUCAAGUUCUGGGCUUCUACCUGCCUGGACCAGUCUAUAGCUGAUUCUCAUCAUUCACAGAUACAACAUUUUAUUAACUUGCCUCAAACACUGAAUUGUCAAAUACUGAACUAUUGCUUCAUGAGGAAGUGGAGAAUCCGCUCCUGUGUGCCUCUGGCCACGUUUUCAUCGAAUGAUCGACAGAUUUGUUUUAUCCAUGUUUCUGCUGAAAGACACCUUAUGUCCCAUGAACUGUUGAUCCAUAAACACGGACCUCAAGGACAAUAGUACCUUGUCUUAGGUCUGAACGAAGCCUCUCCAACACACUCUGUUUUACCUGGCUUGGGAGUGGACAGUGGAGGCUUAUCCGCUUAGGAAAAUUGGGUAGUAUGUUAGCAUGGUGCUUGGGCCAUUCAAAACAGUGAAAUCACCACUGAAAAGCACCAGAACCCAAGACAUGGUAGCUGAAAGGUGCAGGAGGCUCUGGUGCGCAGUGCGGGGGCUGAGCAAGGCGGGGAGGCGCCUUGGUGGGCCUGCUGGGAGCACCGGCAUCUAAGUGACUUGGCUUGUUGCUCUGCACACAUCCUUGAGGGCAGGAGAAAGUGCCUCGUUAAAUUAAAUCCAGUUUGUGCCUGGGGAGGCCUCCUGCUUAAUUCCAAGUGUGGUCAGCUGUGACCUGGCUUGGUACGGGGGCCAGCUGUGUGUGCCCAUAGGAGUGUGCUCAUGAACUGGCCUCCCUCACAGUGGCAGGCUCAGCCAGCCCCUGUGGCCUGUUGAUUCAAUCAAACACUGAGUCAUAACCCAUUGAGGAGUCUGGUGCCACUUAUGUUCUCUGUCCAUAAAUGCUGUCUGUCGACUUCACAGGCCUGAAUUCCCUGAACAUCUUCUUAUUCUGAGGCUGUUCAACUCCAGAAUCAAGAACAAAAGCCAGCGGAAGUCUUUCAAUUUGUUGUGACUUUGACUUGUGAUUUAAUGAGAAGGUGUAUUUGCAGACACGUUAUCCGGGAAUAAUGAGGAUUGACUCUGUGACUCUGGCUCUCGUGGCCUCGGCCUCUGUGUUUAACACCAGUCCUGAGAAGACUCUGUUCUGCUCUGCUUGGAUCAGGAUCCAGUUGGCUGGGGCUGGCACUUGGGGUUGGGGCUGGGGCUUAAUGAGGAGGCUGUUCUCCUGGCACUUGGGUUGGUGGUGAUAUUGGCAUCUUGGUCUCCUUUGUAUUACUUGGAAAGAUGCACUUGGCAACCCAAAUGCUGGUGGGUAUCAGAGGUCAGAAGUGAAAGGACUGAUUUUUUUUUGAAUUUUUGAUACCAGGGAUUAAACUCAGGGACACUCAACCAAUGGGCCAUAUCCUUAGUCCUUUUGAUAUUUUAUUUAGAGACAGGAUCUCACUGAGUUUUUUAGUGCCUCGCUAAGUUGCUGAGGUUGGCUUUGAAUUUGCCAUCCUCCCUCCUUAGUCUCCCGAGCCUCUGAGAAAGGACUAUUUUUUAUAAUUGGCUGUAGUUCUGUUUUUCUUCACCCCCUAAGGUGUCUGGGACCCCAGAGAAAGGUAGUGUGCAUGUGGUCCUGUUGUGGACCAUUUUCUCUUCCUUUGUGUGCGAGGGUCACACACUUACCUCGUGGGGGUCAGUGUCAUAAUGAUCCAGUACCCCUCCCUAGCACAUGCAAACACAGGACCUGUGCAGUGCUCUGUAUGGGGGCCAUGUGGCCUGACCAAGCCCUUGUCUGCUCGCAACUUCCACCCGAGACUGUCAGAGUGUGUUUAGGUACAGGGCUGUAUGCAGCUGUAUGGCAGCUGGUCCUGUCUGCCUGAAUGGGUGAGCUUGGCACUCCACCUAAGGCUCACGCUGAACUCCGAGGGGAUCAACAAGCCGCUCUUAUGUAAGGGCAAGGAGAAGGUCCAGCCCCAGCAGUCCCCUCUCUGACCUGUGUUUUUUCUUCCCUGGAACAACAAAGAGGCUUUGGAAUUUCAAGGUCGUUUUCUAUCUGGGCUGUGGAGCAGGCGAUGGGAUGAAAGCCUUCUCAAGGGCCUCGGGUCCUGGAGUUGAUGGUUUAGACUCAGGCACAGACAUAAACACACGUGACUGACGUCAACAUGUGGCUCUCAGCCCCCGCGCAGAGCUGGGUGGUCCCCGGGAGCAGCACUGGGAGAGGCCACCGGCUCACUGAGCCCCUGGCAGCGGCCAGGCUCACAAUGGGAUUUUGUCCAGUGCUGACCCCUCCCCCUGACCUGGAGUCUAACGCGUGCAACCGGGUGCUGGGCAGAUGCGGGGUGCGGCAGAAGGCAAGUCCUGGUUGAGUCUGUCAUGGUGUCCCCCAAUUCAUGUUGAGCUGCCUCCCUUGUAGUGGGAGCAAGAGGUUUGGGGAAGUGAUCAGGUCACAAGGGCUGGCAGGAACUAGCUAGGCCUCUUUCCACCCUUCUGUUCCUCCUGCCCCAGUGGGCACAGCCCCCAGGGCUCUGUCAGAGAGCAGAGAGCAGGCCUCAUCAGACCCUGAGCCUGCCUGGGGCACCUGCUGUUGGAGUCCCGCCCCCCAAGCUCCCCUGCAACUGGGAGAAACACAUCUCCGCUCCGACAGAGUGCCCAGGCUCAAGGUGCUUACAGCAGCCCCGAUGGACUCAGAGAGUCACAGAUCCAUCUACCAAACCAUGGGAGGCUGCAUGGGGCCUCGACCCCUGUCCAGAACCUCCCAGGUGACAGAGACUAUAAGAAGGACUGUGGAACAGGAAGGGGACAUUAGUUGUGGGGGGCGCUCUUCAGCAGUUUGGUCCACAUUGGUGACAGGGACAGCCCUCUAAUUCCUGUGAGGGGUAAGGUCCCUCAAACUGGGCUUGUCUGUCCACAUGCUGAGCACAUGAAGACACAUUUGAUGCACAGGGCACCUUGCUGGAAAGAAUUUCUGCAGCUCAGGAUGACAAAGCAGAAAUAAGGAGACGGUAUUAGCGACAUCCGUGUCAUAAGCCACAGAUGAGCCCAUUUGCAGGAGGGCUGCCAUCAGGGGUCUGCUCUCCUGAGCCUGGGCAGCCGCGCCCCGACUUCUGGGGCCCAGGUUCCCUGCGACAGCUGCCAUCAGGUCAGUCACUCCUGAGAGCCCAGCAUGGCAGCUGCAUUCCCAGGACUCCUGCUUCCUGGCCCUGGCUAGUCUUGAAGCCAGGUGGCUCAGCCCUGAACAGUGCAUGUCCCCUCCAGAUUGCCAUGGACCUAGAGUGACAGGGAAAAUGUGUUUUUAUUUGUUUUGUUUUGUUCUCAAAAAGCAAAGUUCCUAUUUGUGUUCUAUAAUCCAGGCUCGUCUCCGAGUUGCCCGCCCACAGCCCAGCCCAUCGGAGCCCAUCAGAGAGAGGGAGGCUGCUGGACACAGGGGGUCAGGGCACUGGGCACAGGGCUCUGUGGCUGGACAGGUCCUGCCCACCUUGUUCAGGAGGCCUGUGGUUAAGCUAGUGCCAGGCUCCCCCGGUGGAGGGGAGGGGAGCACAGUGACCAUGUCUGUGGUCCUAUUCCUGAGCGAGGUCACAAAUCUGGGCUAAUAUUUUAUAGAGGGGGUCAGGGCAUGCUCAGGAUAGGCUUAGAAAACUUCCUGGAGAAGAGGGUGGCGGUGCUCAAGAGGCAGGGGAGCAGGCUGCGGACUGGCAAGGCCCUCGCAAUGCAGAGUACUCUCUUGCCCGCGAUAUGCCACACCUCUCCUCCAGGGGCAGAGCUGUCCCUCUCCCCCCAGCUCCCCAGAGCCUCGGGGCUCAGGAAUGAAGGGCUUAAGAUGGGUGCAGUGGAGACCUGUCUCCCGUCUCCCUGCUGAUUCUGGGCCACACCAGGCAGCCAUUGAGAGUAUGGCCCUUGUCUAUGACACAGCACUUCCUGGAGGGAAGACACAUUUGAUGCACAGGGCACCUUGCUGGAAAGAAUUUCUGCAGCUCAUGGUGACAAAGCGGAAAUAAGGAGAUGGUAUUAGUGGCAUCCAUGGCAUCCAGAGUUUGGCGGCUGCCUUAAUUGAGAUGCUGUCUCAGCUGGUCCAGAGUCCUUCUUACAGGGCUGCCACCCAGAUGAUGACCACCCAACGGGAGACGGCUGGGCAGGAAAGCGCGACACCGGGGCAGGGAGUGAUUUAUAGAUCCUUCCAGGGGCAGGAGCUUGCCGUCGCUUGCAGAGCUGGCCCCACACUCCUGCAGCGUUGCACCAGCGACAUCAUCACGCUUCCUCUCAUUCAUCCUCGCACUUUUGGAUUAGGAAGGAGAGAUUAAUUGUGUGGGGGACCCUCAGCAAUUUGCUGAACCUCUGCAUUCCUGACAUUAAUCUUUCCCCAAGUGCCCUAUCAUUAACUUGAAAAAUCAACCGGGCAAAACCUUAGAGUAGGUUCAUGCAAAUGAGAAUACAUAAAUAGCACGCGGAGAGGAGCUGGGAAGGCCGCCGGGCUUCCUGGGCACCUGUGGCGGAGUGUCGCGGGAGCCCCCUUCGCAAGCCUUCAUCUGUGGAACGUGUCCCUUGUCCACAGCUUGUUAGAGUCGUUUCUUUUUGGCGUGGGUCAGGGAAAGGCAUGAAAACAUUUCUAUUUUCAAAUAAUGCAAAUAAAAAAUCCCUCUUCGGAGGAAACGCCCCGUGCUGUUGGAACUCGGUGGCCAGGGCUUCACCUAGGUUCUCUUCAAUCCAGAAAGAAAAAUCGCAGGAGAUUGCUUGCCUUGAGACUUUCCCACAUGACAGCAAUUCUUACCGUGCCAGAAGUGGUUCAUCUUGUUGUAUGGGAAGUUGGCUAAAGCACUGCAUUGAGGUAACAACUUUGGAAGUUUUGAGUCUCUUUUUCUGAAAACACUCUUCCAUGCAUAGAUUUGUUCUUAGGUAAGUAAAGGUCUUGAUUUGUGCACACUAAAUCAUGGUGACCAGCUGUGUAGAAAAACAGCUGUGUGUUCUACUAGGACAACAUGGCCCUCGAGCCGGGGCUCUGAGGGGAGGCCCCUGGCUGGCCAUUGCAGGUGCCUGGCUUUGCUCUACCCACUCCUCUGUGCAGUGCCCUCAUGGUGGCCAACGGACUGAAGGCAAACUGCCCAUGCGGGUUGAGAAGGACACACCCGCUGUUCCACUGACUACUUAUGAACGAGGCCUUUUGAAAAAUCUGCACUCAGCUGAAUCUUCCCGUGCACUGCCAUGGACAUACUCACCAGCUACCUGAGUCAGGUAGAGCAGGAUACAGCCAGGUCAAAUGGACACAUGGAAUAAGAGAUCUGAGAAAGGGGAAAUUAGAGAGAUGCUGGAAUUUGGAUGUUUUUCUAGAUUUCAUUAAAAGGUAAAAAUAUAAAUCAUCUGAAACCUGUAAAGUUUUUGAUUGGAACAAACCUUAAAGUGAAGUUUAAAAUGAAAAGUAAUUCACCAUAGAUUAUAUUUUCUUCUUAUUAAAUUUUACAUGGUAGUGUCAUCAAGUUAAAACCUCACAAAGGCCUGGGUUUUAAAAAAAGGCAUGUGGUUUUUUCCCAAUUAUUGGUUCGCUUAAUAUUUAUGGAGAGCCUCCGGAGUGUACAUCCCCGUGUUCAACAGGAAAAUUGUGGAGAAACAUCGAACUUAGGCCAAGACACACUCUCCAGUGAUGGAUCACGUCAUCACAUGGAAGCCGGCAUAGGCAGAGCCUGUGAGCGCAGCCUCUGGUCCAUCUGCUGAUGUCUAGCCAAGAGGGACAGAGAAUGACUAGUCACUUCAUGGUCACGCAUUUGUUUGAACUUUGGUUACCAACUCAAUUAAUAAUUUAUUUUAAAUAAGCUAAAUGUUCAGCCUAUGUUAAAGUCAUUUGCAUUCAUGUGCAAGGUAAAUAUGUUUGAAUUUUUAAUACUCUUUUGUAUAUCAACCCCAUUUGACUAAAACUUGGUGGAAACAUCUUUAUUUCACACAGAUCAUUUCCUUAAACUAAAAGCAACCCCAAGGAAGUACACAGCACCCGUUAAGUGCCGGGCAGUGCGCAUGUGCACACAGACACACAAGCCCUCUGAAGAGCCAUGGGAGGGAGUCCCUGUCACCUGCAUGAUUCGACCACAUGGAGCCUGCACUGCACCAGAGCGUAAGCAG
rnacentral:lncRNA from 1 species